AAGUGGGGAUGACGUCAAAUCAUCAUGCCCCUUAUGACCUGGGCUACACACGUGCUACAAUGGGCGGUACAAAGGGUCGCGAACCCGCGAGGGGGGAGCCGAAUCCCAAAAAGCCGCUACUCAGUUCGGAUUGCAGGCUGCAACUCGCCUGCAUGAAGCCGGAAUCGCUAGUAAUCGCGGAUCAGCAUGCCGCGGUGAAUACGUUCCCGGGCCUU
rnacentral:rRNA from 1 species